GGACCCGUCCUUGAAACACGGACCAAGGAGUCUAGCAUGUGCGCGAGUCAUUGGGACAUGACUAAACCUAAAGGCGCAAUGAAAGUGAAGGUCCGCCUCGCGCGGACCGAGGGAGGAUGGGCGACCGUUUCGGCGGACGCCCCGCACUCCCGGGGCGUCUCGUUCUCAUUGCGAGAAGAGGCGCACCAAGAGCGUACACGCUGGGACCCGAAAGAUGGUGAACUAUGCCUGGUCAGGACGAAGUCAGGGGAAACCCUGAUGGAGGUCCGUAGCGAUUCUGACGUGCAAAUCGAUCGUCGGAACUGGGUAUAGGGGCGAAAGACUAAUCGAACCAUCUAGUAGCUGGUUCCCUCCGAAGUUUCCCUCAGGAUAGCUGGCGCUCGUAGCGUACGAGUUUCAUCCGGUAAAGCGAAUGAUUAGAGGCAUUGGGGUCGAAACGGCCUCAACCUAUUCUCAAACUUUAAAUGGGUGAGAUCUCCGGCUUGCUCGAACUCUUGAAGCCGCGAGACUCGAAUCAGAGUGCCAAGUGGGCCAUUUUUGGUAAGCAGAACUGGCGCUGUGGGAUGAACCAAACGCCGAGUUAAAGCGCCUAAAUCGACGCUUAUGGGAUACCAUGAAAGGCGUUGGUAACUUAAGACAUCAGGACGGUGGCCAUGGAAGUCGGAAUCCGCU
rnacentral:rRNA from 1 species